rnacentral:rRNA from 1 species
UACGUAGGUGGCAAGCGUUGUUCGGAAUUACUGGGCGUAAAGCGCGCGCAGGCGGCCAUUCAAGUCAGGGGUGAAAGCCCAGAGCUCAACUCUGGAACUGCCCUUGAAACUGUAUGGCUUGAGUAUGAGAGAGGUGAGUGGAAUUCCCAGUGUAGAGGUGAAAUUCGUAGAUAUUGGGAAGAACACCGGUGGCGAAGGCGGCUCACUGGCUCAUUACUGACGCUCAGGCGCGACAGCGUGGGGAUCAAACAGG